rnacentral:misc_RNA from 1 species
GAUGAAGAACGCAGCGAAAUGCGAUAAGUAAUGUGAAUUGCAGAAUUCAGUGAAUCAUCGAAUCUUUGAACGCACAUUGCGCCCGUCAGUAUUCUGGCGGGCAUGCCUGUUCGAGCGUCAUUACGCCCCUCAAGUCCCCUGUGGACUUGGUGUUGGGGAUCGGCGAGGCUGGUUUUCCAGCACAGCCGUCCCUUAAAUUAAUUGGCGGUCUCGCCGUGGCCCUCCUCUGCGCAGUAGUAAAACACUCGCAACAGGAGCCCGGCGCGGUCCACUGCCGUAAAACCCCCCAACUUUUUAUAGUUGACCUCGAAUCAGGUAGGACUACCCGCUGCACUUAAGCAUAUCAAUACGCGGAAGGA